AGUGAACGCUGGCGGUAGGCCUAACACAUGCAAGUCGAACGGCAGCACAGUAAGAGCUUGCUCUUACGGGUGGCGAGUGGCGGACGGGUGAGGAAUACAUCGGAAUCUACUUUUUCGUGGGGGAUAACGUAGGGAAACUUACGCUAAUACCGCAUACGACCUACGGGUGAAAGCAGGGGUUCUUCGGACCUUGCGCGAUUGAAUGAGCCGAUGUCGGAUUAGCUAGUUGGCGGGGUAAAGGCCCACCAAGGCGACGCUCCGUAGCUGGUCUGAGGGGAUGAUCAGCCACACUGGAACUGAGACACGGUCCAGCCUCCUACGGGAGGAAGCAGUGGGGAAUAUUGGACAAUGGGCGCAAGCCUGAUCCAGCCAUAACGCGUGGGUGAAGAAGGCCUUCGGGUUGUAAAGCCCUUUUGUUGGGAAAGAAAAGCAGCAGGUUAAUACCCCGCUGUUCUGACGGUACCCAAAGAAUAAGCACCGGCUAACUUCGUG
rnacentral:rRNA from 1 species